rnacentral:lncRNA from 1 species
CAAAAUUUCAAAUCUACACAGGAAGUUCUUUGUUUGAGAGCAGGAUGGAGUGGAGUUAUUUUACUGUAUUUACAUGCAGCUUGGAAGUUAACAAUAACUAAAAGAAUACUCCAGGAGUAUAUAAACAGCAUGCACGAAUGAAUGAAUGGAGAUAAUUCAGUUUAGUGACCCAAUGUAUUGUGUUCAAAGGAGACGCCAUCCAACAAUUCAAAGACAUGUUAAUGCAGUGAGGCAACUGAUGGCAAAUGAUGGCUUUGUGGCAGUUAAUGAAAACUACAUGGUAUUUUAAACUGAUGGUGGCCAACAGUGACAGAAAAUUUCUCAACCAAUAGUUACAUUCAGUUGAAAAUGAUGGCAUAUCUUAUACCGACUAUACUGCAUUAUGACAAACAGUGGAAAACAUUGAUAUACUACAAUGACAGUGGAAUUGAAUAGAAACUGGUGACAUUUUAGCUCCAUAUUGCUUGUACUAUUUUCUGUCACCUAGUGAAGAAAUGUCUAAAUUCAUAAGCAGUUUUGUUAUACUACUGACUAUUAUGAAAUUAUAAAUUAAGAUGUGACAUGCAUAAUGGUUUCUGAUUUUCAUUUCAGUCCAGUUCUGUCACCAACAAGUUUCCAUGGUAUUUCCGUGGAUUUCCACAGUUAUUUGCCAUGGCAUGCCGUCCGAAUACUCCACGGAUUGCCAUGGACUUUCGCUGGUUUCCAGGGUCAUCUGUGGUGUACCAUGGAAAGCCGUGGAUUUCCAUGGAAACCCAUGGAUUUCCACGGAACUCUGUGGCAUUCCAUUGAAAUCCAUGGAACUCCACGGAUUGUAUUCUUCGUAUUUUUGUUUCAUAAAAAAAUGAUAUAAGUUGGUAGUCCGAAUACUCCAUGGAAUAUUUUCCAUGGAUUUCCACAGAAUUCCAUGGCAAAUCUAGAG